rnacentral:rRNA from 1 species
CAGUAGCCGCGGUAAUACGUAGGUGGCAAGCGUUGUCCGGAAUUAUUGGGCGUAAAGCGCGCGCAGGCGGAUCAGUCAGUCUGUCUUAAAAGUUCGGGGCUUAACCCCGUGAUGGGAUGGAAACUGCUGAUCUAGAGUAUCGGAGAGGAAAGUGGAAUUCCUGGUGUAGCGGUGAAAUGCGUAGAUAUUAGGAAGAACACCAGUGGCGAAGGCGACUUUCUGGACGAAAACUGACGCUGAGGCGCGAAAGCCAGGGGAGCGAACGGGAUUAGAUACCCCCGUAGUCCCUGUCUCUUAUACA